UUCCCCAUCCAUUUCUGUCACUCAUCUCUCUCUCUCUCUCUGAUAACACCAUCACAAAACAAGUUCCCAGUGGUGGUGGUGGAGGUUUCAACACUAAUACAUCAUAACCCCUCAAUUGCUUCAUCAUGAAUUAACUACAAUCAACCACAAUUCAAUUUCCCCAUACACACACCAAAAUAUGUACUUUUUAACACAGAUUUUCAUGCACAUCAAGAACACAAUGAAGAUUUACCCAGAAAUUAAAACAAUCAGGUUUUUAUUAAAGGCGAUUUACAUUGGUUGGUUUUCCCGUGAUGUCGGGGUGAGGUGUUGGCAGCGCCGCAGUGGGGUGGAGGUGUUACGGUUGUGGGUUUUUCGCCGGCGAUGUCCAAGUUAGGUGGUGGCGGCAUGGUGGAGUUGUUAUGGUGGGGCGUUUUUCCGGCGAUGUGGGGUGGAUCUGUUAUGGUGGUGGGUGCUAUUAUUAUGGUGGUGGAAGGUUAUUGUUGUUUGCAGAGAAAUAGGGCAUGUUUGGCUUAACUUAUUUCUGACUUAUUAAAAGUCCUUUUCCCUCAAAAUAAGUAAGAAUUUCUUACUUCUUGACUUCUUGUCUCACAACAACAGAAAAUCCAAACACUAAAAUAAGUCCUUUUACCCACCAAUAAG